UACUCCUACGGGAGGCAGCAGUGGGGAAUUUUGGACAAUGGGCGAAAGCCUGAUCCAGCAAUGCCGCGUGUGUGAAGAAGGCCUUCGGGUUGUAAAGCACUUUUGUCCGGAAAGAAAUCCUUGGCUCUAAUACAGUCGGGGGAUGACGGUACCGGAAGAAUAAGCACCGGCUAACUACGUGCCAGCAGCCGCGGUAAUACGUAGGGUGCAAGCGUUAAUCGGAAUUACUGGGCGUAAAGCGUGCGCAGGCGGUUUGCUAAGACCGAUGUGAAAUCCCCGGGCUCAACCUGGGAACUGCAUUGGUGACUGGCAGGCUAGAGUAUGGCAGAGGGGGGUAGAAUUCCACGUGUAGCAGUGAAAUGCGUAGAGAUGUGGAGGAAUACCGAUGGCGAAGGCAGCCCCCUGGGCCAAUACUGACGCUCAUGCACGAAAGCGUGGGGAGCAAACAGGAUUAGAUACCCUGGUAGUCCACGCCCUAAACGAUGUCAACUAGUUGUUGGGGAUUCAUUUCCUUAGUAACGUAGCUAACGCGUGAAGUUGACCGCCUGGGGAGUACGGUCGCAAGAUUAAAACUCAAAGGAAUUGACGGA
rnacentral:rRNA from 1 species